CUACCUCCGUCCCUGUAUUCAAUGGAAAUACCAAUAGUCUAGAAGUCAUUUAAAUUUUAUUCCCUGAAACUACAGUUUGAAUAUGGUGUUUUGACCAUUACAUUGCUCUCUUCCCUGUUUCUGAAUAUUUUAGAGAUAAAUUUAGCUCCAAAUCAGACAUUCUAGUUAUAGUUCUAGAAAGAAAGUUCCAGCCAUACACCAACUCAUAGGCAAUAUCCACCUAAAACACGCACUUACCCGCACACCGUGAGUGACUCUGUUUGAAUUCCUGUGCCGUAGGAUGCUUCCUCCAACAUUUUUGCUAUCCCUGAUUCAGAUCCAACGGUUCAGAUCCCUCCCUGUCCUGUUUUAGAUCUCCAUUCUUCAUUCUUCUUCCAUUUUCGCCUUUCCCUCGAUCCUCGCAGCAAAUAUAUAUAUAUAGAGAGAGUACAAGAUAUUAAUUCAUUUUGUACUUUCUUUAACAGAACCUUCAGCUCAGUUCAGAUCUCUCUUUAUUUAAAUAGCCGACAUUUUAUUCCCUUACACAUCUGUACGGUACAGUGCUCAGAUUCUAGGUCUGUUUGUCUUGUGAGAGAAUAUGGCUUGGGCCGUCUCAACUUUGUCAUAGAAGCUUUGACUUUGGUUCGAAUGGAUUCAGGAAGCAUACUGAUUGAGCAGCUGGAUCAAGGCAAGGUUUCUCUUCUCAUGUGCAGCUGUGUAUAUGAUUUGUAUAUAGUAAUUAAUUUCGUCAGUGUAUUUGAACUUAAUUGUGGGAUCUUGUUCAUUGUAUCGUUCGAUCCAGGCCCCAAUGAAAUAGGACGAAGUCUUCUUUCAUUCGAGCCAACUCACUCUCAGGGAAUGAGAGCUUUGCAAUAGUUCAAGAUGGAAUGAUUGAGCUCUUGCCUAAGAGAAGAGCUUAAUAAAGCAUAGAUGAAUUUUUGACAACAAAAAAAGCUUUUCUCCCAGGUUGAGGUGAUAGAACAGAUUAUGACCGAUGAAAUCUGAUGCGUGCAUAUACUACAAAAGAUCUGUUAAAUUUCGGAGAUCAAAUAGAACAUCUGCAAAUUGCACGAAUUGGGGCGGUUGGCCUAAGCUCCGCAAAUUUGAUGCAAUUUGCAGGGGUUACGGACCCCCGCAGUAAAGAUAUUUUGUUUUACGAAAUCCUUCCCACGGGGCCUUUUCCCCCUCUCUGAUUCUUUCCCCAAAAUACCUUCGACUAUGCUAAGCUGCAGCGACAGAAUCCUAACCCUAAUCGCGCUCUUUGCGAUUCAAGCUCUGCCUUUCAGCAUAGCAGUCACCAAAUACUCUCCUCCGCUUGCUCUUUCUCAAUCACCGUCUCUCUCCACACACAUGGAGUCAUCAUAGCUGCAGCAGGGAUGAUGCAGCGGUCCUCACAGCGGCUGAGUCUUAGAAGAUAAUGAUGAAGGACCAAGCCUCUCUUUCUCUCUCUAACAACUAUGAAGAAGAAGAUGAAGUGAGUAUAUGCAUGUCACUCAUCCUCUAUCUCUUCUCUCAAAAUCCUUCUGAUAGAUUGAGCUCAAUUUCAUUGAUUUGAAGGCUUCUCCAAGCUUAUACGUAGAUAUAAUGAACAUUCUGUUUCUCUGUUUAGCAAUAUUUUCUCCAACUUAUGUAUUUGCUUUAGUUCCAUUAUACUCGUGAAGUAUUCAUCAAUUUCACACAAAAAAUCAUUCUCAAUGAACAAGCUGGAAAUUAAUUGUUAAAUUUUUAUGGCAACUUUCUUUUGAUGUGAAGGAUGAUUUUGGAGAAUUGUAUAAAAUCAGGUUCAGGCCAAUGAAGAAAGUAUUAGUGUUUUUAGAAGUUUGAGCUAUUUAAUCAGAUAUGCUUCACUAUAGCCUCGCAUGGGGCGCGUAAAGAAGAAUUACAAAGCAAGCAGAAGAAAAAAGAAAAAUUUAAUGCGUAGAGCAAGAUGUUUUGUCUAGCCAGAGAGGAUAAGUGGAAACUUCAAGAAAUCUGAGUUUCUGAGUAACACUAGAAACUGCAUUUCCUUAAUAUUCACCUUGAAUAUCAGUUCUAUGUUGUUGUAGCACAGGCUCUUACAAGUUACUAUUAUUUAUGCCUUUGCUUUUAAAAGUGUUGCUGUGCUUGAUAUUAAUUCUUGAUGCAUAUUUAUUCAGGGAGCUUUUGCUCUAUUAGAAAUGAUAGUUUGAAGUGUAUCGAUGAAUAAGCACUGAUAUUUUGACAUCAUGUCCCUUUCUGAAUUGAACUGACUCACUUAUUCUAGGUGAAGCAACUUAUAUACUCUUGGAUUGAAUUACAUUUGUUCAGGAUUGUAUGAGGGGAUGAUGAUGUUUGACAACUUUUUUAAGCCUUGUGUUUACCUAUCUGAAAAAGUUGUCGGGGAUGUUCCUUUGAUAAGUAUCUUGGGAUUCAUUAUGUUGUUAUUUUAAAAUUGAGUACACCACGCGUAGCCUGAUUGCCUAACCUGACUACCUUCUAUAUACUGAAUAUAGCUUAUACUCAUCUCAAUAUGGUAUUGCCUUUUUGGACAUAGUUACUUGGUACGUGUUGCUGGUGGGAGGUAGCAGGUACCUCGUGGAAUUAGUCGAGCUGCACACAAGCUGCUUCGGACACCACAGUUAUAUAUAUAUAUAUAUAUAUAUAUAUAUAUAUAUUUGCCUUUCCUAGUUGCUGUAUCUAUAAUAACUUAUUUGUUACGUCCAGAUUUUUUCUUAUGGCUAUUAGUUUAGUUUUGUUUCUCUUAGUUUCGGCUCACAUAGUGGUUGAGCUACACAAUGUUGCAUUGCAUUUCAUUAUAGAACUUAUUGACGGGUCAUCAUGGUCUGGAAAAUGAUUUUGAGUUUAUGUGAGCUACACAAGUUACCAAUCUCUUGUCAUAUUACCACGAUCGCACAACUUUUUAUACUCACUUAAUUCAUUUCAGAUGAAUGAUGAAUAUCGUAUGCAGGUAAUAUUUCCACAAUUGCACAACUGUUCCUAUUAUACAUAUGGUGUUUGUAUGAUCUGAAUACCUUAACAACUUAUAAUCUUGUAUAUUCUUCUAUCUUAAAUUUUGUAAAUGUUAGUAUGAUGCUGAAGAGCUGGUUUUCUUACUUCCCCAGGUGCCCCUUAAAAUUUGCACUAGGUCAGUUAUAGCUAAUUUAGCAUGAUUUAGUGGAAGUGAACAGUCGGCUGAUUGUUAUGUGCCUCUUUUUGCUGUUUUAAUUGUGGUUUUCGCUUUUUAGAAUACAUAAUGACAUUAACAACUUAUUGCAGACUUCUCCUACAUUGCUGGCUAUGAAAGAUGUUAUUCUGAAGAAGUGAGUAGAUCUGUAGAUGCCAAGCUUUUUCCUUGUUGCAACGUCUGCUCAUAAAGUGCCUGAAGAAGGGUCAAUUUGGAGAACAACUGCAGUUUGAAAUAAAGAUUGUGUAUAUGAAGAUGACGUAUUAAUUUCCCCCCCCCCCCCCCCCCCCUCAUUUUUUAGUUUCUUUGGGCAUAAAGAUGUACCUAGAAUCUGAUGACUUGCGAUAUUGCUUACAUUUUUAUGAUCAAUUGAAUACUGAU